CGGAGCGUGGCGCAGUCUGGUAGCGCACCUCGUUCGGGACGAGGGGGUCGCAGGUUCAAAUCCUGCCGCUCCGA
rnacentral:tRNA from 2 species